CGACAGGAUUAAUUCUAUUCCUGGAGGGCCCAGUGGAGCAGGGCCAUUUGGGACGCCAGGAAGGUAGAAGGAGCACCGCUGCCAGGGCAUGUGGUGUCCCGGAAGAUGGCCAAGGCAGGCUGCCCAGAGUGGAAAGGAUGGCAACACGUGCCAGGCUGGGAUAGUGACUUGAAGAUGAGGAGCCUGGGCUGGGCGGGCCGCAGGCGGCAGGGAAGGCCCCACAUCGAGGGUUGCAAUCUUGUCAUCCAUAACUCUUAUAAGAAUGAGCCCUGGCCUGGAAGAGAGGCCAAAUGUCUAAUCAGCAGGCCUGGAACACCGCCGGUGCCAAGAAAGAGCCAAGCAGCCACUCCCUGGGGCUGGCUGCAGAUGAGGCCCUUGUGGUUUCCCCACUCACUGACUACGGGGAGGAGGGUGUGCAAGGACUUUGUCUGGGAAGAAUCUUUGCAUCUGUAGCUCAACAGGCUUCUCUCUCCAGGCCCCUGGGUUUCAAAAGACUGUGACUUCCACCUUGGUUUGCUCGGUCUGAUGAAGGAACUUUGAGCUGUGAGCUGCACUGUGAACUUUGCUGUGAGCUGCCCUGUGAUGGGAGAGGAGGCCUCCGCCUCACAGCCCUGGAGGACCUCAAUGCUGCCAACGUGUGACCAGAUGCAGAUCCUUCUCCAGUCAAGCCUGGACAUGACAUGACAGCAGCCCUGGGGACCUUGAUGCUGUGGCCUGUGCAAGACCCUGAGCCAGCCGCACCCAGAUCCCUCACCCACAGAAACUGCCAGAUUUUAAGUCUUCUGCUUCUGCAAGAUGAGUCACGGUUCUACUUCCCCUGGAAGGGCAGAAGUUGCAUAAGAUUGUUGAGGCUCAAGCGAGAUAAUGUGUGAGGCUGUUACUCCAGACUAGAGCCUUGAUUUUUAAACUUCAGCGUGCAUCAGAAUCGCCUGGAAGGUUUGUUAGAACCCCGCCCCCAGAGUUUCUCCUUCAGGGGGUCCAGGGUGGGCCUGAGAGUUUCUGAAGUGUUCCCAGGGGUUGCCGAUGCUGCUAGUCCAGGCACUAUAUUUAGGGAACCCCCGUCCUAAAGCCUCACCAAUUGAAUCUCCUAAGAUGAUGAAGAUGGCCUACAUCUGUGCUGUCCUAAACGGUAGCCAACAGCCACACGUGGCUACUGAGAACUCGGAGUGUGGCUAGCACGCCUGAGGACCCGAAUUUAAAAAACAGUUAAUUUUAAUUAACUUAAAUUUAAAUAGCCACGUAUGGUUGGUGGCCAGCGUUUUGGACAGUGUUGUUCUAGAGCUCAUCUGAGUUUGCAGAUGAAGAAACCGAGGCUUUGAGAGGUACCUCCCCUCCCUUGGAGUCUCAUGGCAAUCCUGGGGUGGUGCUCCGGCUGGCUGGCCUUCUUGAACAGGUCCUGUGAUAUGGGAACAUUUGAGUGCUUUGGGGGUGUCUUUGUUGCUUUGAGUUCCAGGUAGCUGAAAGGAGUGGGCUGGAAGGGGACGGGGAGACCCAUUUGCUGGCUCAUGACAAAGAUGAGAGCUGCAGACACAGCGCACAGCGGCAGGAAAAGGCUAAAUGAAAGAGGAUCAUCAGAGCGAAUCACGCUACUGCUCAGAAUGACCAGCUCUUCGGGAUUGAAGAAAGCUUCCUUCAUCCUGUCCUUGGCCUCCGUGGUCAAAGAGCUUCAGGGGCCUUGCUGACCUCCUUCCUCUCCAUUUUGCUGUGCCCUCUCACUGUCCCUGAACUUGAGAUCCUGGAGGUUUAGCUGUGCUCUGGGUCCCUUGAAGACUUCGGAGGCAAUCCACUAAGAAAUGGGGAUUUAAGUGAGACAUGAAGAAGAACUUCCUUAUGGCAAGAACUAUAAGAUGUUGAAGACAAGACACAGUAUUGGGAGUAAAGGCGGUGAGGCACGGAAAUAUAUUUACCAACACCCAGGGAACCGAGUCUUCUCCCCCAGGAUCCCUGCUCUGCUCGUUCAGCUUUCCUGUAAGAUCGCAGCUCAGCUCCGCUGGCAGACAACCUAACAAAGAGCCUCAAUAAGGCCAGACCCGCAGGCGGCUUAUCAAGAUGUACGUCUUUGCUGUGCACACAGACUGUCACCUCGGUGCUGCUGUGUCAUCACAGAAGGCAAAACCAAACAACUGUGCAUGCACACACACAUACAUGCACACACAUGGACACACACAUAUAUGCACACACGGACACACAUGCAUGCACACACACUUGCACACACAUACCCAUGCACGCACACAUGGACACACAGGCAUACGCACACACUUGCACACACAUGCAUAUACACGUGCACCAUGCACAUGCACACAUACGUACACACACAUGCACAUACAUAGCAUGCACAUGAACAUAUGAGUUUGCACACUGUUGAGUGCUGUGGUCCCAGGAGUCAGAAGCUCCAGCUUUGCCCUCCUAGCCCUUUAUCUGCUUCUCUUUCCUCCUCCUCUGUCUUGAGAACCUAACCAGGAGACUGCGUGUUGCACGGGAUAGGGACUGUGGGGCAUGAGAGGGAUCAUCUUUUGUAACACAAGCUGAGGACCCGACAGGUGCACAGCGAAUACUUAGGUCACAGAAGGCCAGUGCCAGAAGGGAGACCAGAGAUCUCAACCCAUCUCCUCAUUCUGCAGGGCAGGAAUCCCAGCCAGCACAAGGCCCAGGGCUGCUGAGUGAACUCACUAGCUAGCUAGUCACUGAGCAACAGAGUCUGGAGUCUGGGUCCCCUGAUGCCCAGUCUUGAGCUCUUUCAUGUCCUCCAUUCCUCACUCAGUUGACACGAAGGCACUGGGGCCUGAAGGACACGGAACAGGUGAGGCCAGUCCCCCUGCUUGAACAGCUCUGUGUAGGAAAGGAGAUGACUCCCUCUCCCCUCUCCCCUCUCCCCACGGUCUCCCUCUCCCUCUCUUUCCCCGGUCUCCCUCUGAUGCCGAGCCGAAGCUGGACUGUACUGCUGCCAUCUCGGCUCACUGCAACCUCCCUGCCUGAUUCUCCUGCCUCAGCCUGCCAAGUGCCUGCGAUUGCAGGCGUGCGCCGCCACGCCUGACUGGUUUUCAUAUUUUUUUGGUGGAGACGGGGUUUCGCUGUGUUGGCCGGGCUGGUCUCCAGCUCCUAACCGCGAGUGAUCCGCCA
rnacentral:lncRNA from 1 species